rnacentral:rRNA from 1 species
UACGUAGGGGGCAAGCGUUGUCCGGAUUUAUUGGGCGUAAAGAGCGUGUAGGCGGUUAUACAGGUCCGCUGUGAAAACUGGAGGCUUAACCUCCAGACGUCGGUGGAAACCGUAUGACUAGAGUCCGGAAGAGGAGAGUGGAAUUCCUGGUGUAGCGGUGAAAUGCGCAGAUAUCAGGAAGAACACCUAUGGCGAAGGCAGCUCUCUGGGACGGUACUGACGCUGAGACGCGAAAGCGUGGGGAGCGAACAGG